UACGAAGGGGGCGAGCGUUGUUCGGAUUUACUGGGCGUAAAGGGCGCGUAGGCGGCCCUUCAAGUCAGGCGUGAAAGCCCCGGGCUCAACCUGGGAGGUGCGCUUGGGACCGGAGGGCUGGAGUUCGGGAGAGGAGCGUGGAAUUCCCAGUGUAGAGGUGAAAUUCGUAGAUAUUGGGAAGAACACCGGUGGCGAAGGCGGCGCUCUGGACCGAGACUGAUGCUGAGGCGCGAAAGCGUGGGGAGCAAACAGG
rnacentral:rRNA from 1 species